rnacentral:lncRNA from 1 species
UGCGGCCUGCAGAAAGUGUCACCCCGGUCCUCCCACCCGUACGUUGUUAGACCUAUUGUGUCUAGAGUUGAUGUUUACAAGCAUUCUCUGCUGGUCAAAACAAUUGAAGGAUGGAAUCAACUAAGCCCUAAAAUAAAAAAUUGC